UUGAAUUUUCGAAAAGAAAAAGAAAAACUUGAUGGGGCCUUCGGGGAGUGGAAAGACUACACUUCUAAGUCUGCUCGUUGGCAGGGUGAGAGGGUCGACACCAGGAGGUUCAAUUACUUAUAAUGACCAGCCAUAUUCGAAGUUCCUAAAGAGCAGGAUAGGAUUCGUGACUCAAGACGACGUGCUCUUUCCUCACCUUACAGUGAGGGAAACAUUAACAUAUGCAGCACUCCUACGACUUCCAAAGACAUUGACAAAACAGGAAAAGGAAAAAUGAGCCAUAGACGUAAUCGACGAGUUGGGCUUGGAGAGGUGCCAAGACACUAUGAUCGGUAGCUCUUUUGUUCGGGGAGUUUCAGGAGGAGAGAGGAAGCGUGUCUGUAUUGGCAAUGAGAUUAUAAUCAACCCUUCUCUUUUGUUUCUUGAUGAACCAACCUUUGGCCUGGAUUCUACAACUGCUUUGAGGAUCAUUCAAAUCUUACAAGACAUAGCUGAGGUAUAUUGCAUUUCAAGUCCAAAGCUUCAAUUUCACAUUAUUAUUAGCAAAUUCAUGAUUAUAUAUGACAACAAAAAUAAAAAUUAUAACAAUAAAUCAAACCUAUCUUCAUCCCAACUUCUCAAGAGUUUUCUUUACCCACUAUGCCAUAUCUAGGGCCACAGGUUGUACAAAUCAUCAGCAAAUCACCUAGACAAUGAGAGAACACAUGAAGUAAAUUAUAUGCUUAUUUUAAACAUCUAAGCGUAAACAACACAUGGAGUAAACCAUAUGGGGCAAAGU